GGUUGUAUGGUGUAGUGGUCAGCACACCAGAUUCUGACCUGCCUGCUGGCAGCGAGAAUUCUGGGGACUUGGGUUCAAUUCCCAAUACGACCU